AUGGGAUCCGGCAGCGAUGGGAUCCGGCAACAUCGCCAGCGAUGGGAUCAGGCAGCAGACAGCCAAGCCAGGCACACUGCUGACCGCCGCGAUCUCGCCUCCCUCCUCCGUCCCUGGGCCAGAUCCAUGGCCAACCGCCCGGCGGCAUGCAGCACACGCGCGGGAAGCCGUGCAGUUCGUCGGGCGCAUCCUGUCGUGUACGUACGUCGUCGGACCCUGCCUCCUCCUUCCUCAAGCUUCGUAAUAGCCCCUCCCCAACCCCACUCCUCCUUCCGGCUUCGACCCACCAUCUCCUACAUCUCCAACUUUCUCCUGACCGGCCUCAGCCAUGCGCCAAAAUCCAGCCGUCCCCACCCCUCUGGUUUCCCCUCUGGGCAGCGGUCGCGCCACCACUCUGCCAUCCGGUGA
rnacentral:rRNA from 1 species